GCCCGACCCGACAGGCCCGGUUUUUUCUUUGUUUGGAAUCUAAAAAUGGCCUAAAAUGGCCCAACAGCUUAAUGGGCUCUCUAAAACUGGAUGUAUUUUUCUCCAAUGGUCAAUUGGUUAAUGCUAAGGAUAUAACUAGCCUAUUUCAAAUAGAUAGUGUUGGUGGUGGUUUCAAACUUUGGAAUUUGGAUAUAUCUACAAAUAUUAAAAAAAAAAUUCGCAGCUUCAAGCCAAUAGAAAGAAAAUAAAAUGUAUAAAACACUGUUGUCCAGCUGAAAAUUACAACCCAACAAUAAAAAUUACAAACUUAGACAACUACAUAUUUAGACAAAAUACAAAUUACAUUGUUCCAUUAACAUUAUAACAAUUGUAAAUGUAACCAUAAUUCUUGAAGCCACUUCCAUAAUAGAAAACUGUAGAAGAACAUCUUGCAUCUUCUAACUCUCAAAACCUACAAACACAAAAUUGAAACAUUAGCAAUUGUUAAUGGUUGAACAUGAUUACAUUUCUUAUCCAGUACCUGCCCAAGAUUAAUUUGAUCUCGAAGCAAAAACAAUCUAAAGUAGAUAGUAAACGGUAGAAGGGGUGGUAAGUAACAGUGUAACACAUGAUUUUAUAUGAACUCGUUUAGCUCCAAGGAUCAAAGAGUAGAUCCAGAUUCCAGGGGCAUCUCUCGGGAGCAGAACCAACCUUCGGGCUG
rnacentral:lncRNA from 1 species